AACAGUCAAAUCUAUAUUUCCAAAGCACCUGAUGUGCUAAGCGUCAUCAUGCACGCCUAAUGUGCACACCACACUUACUUCUCACAUUCAAUAAGAAAAUGUACUAACUUAGACCACAGAUAUUAAAAAAAGAACACUUAUGAUUAAUUAACAUGCAUUUUCUGAACACAUUAAACUGAAAGGAAAAACAAGAGACAUGUGUAGUCUUGUCACUUGUGUGCAGUGGUCUGCGGUUCAGGAGUUGGUGAUGCAACACUUCAGAGGGCUGAGGGUGUCUCUCUCUGCGCCUGCAGCAAACACACACACUUUCUCUACGCUGGCUCCCGCCUCUCUGUCUGUCUCUCUCCACUCAUGAGGUUUGGACUAUUAACACCAUGCAGCGCAAUCUAGCACUUGUGCAGUGCAGGGCUGAUUGCUCCACAUGACACAUAUGAUCUGUGGGCAGCAGCACAUCCAUGCAGCUAGCACAGGUCAUGUAGAAAGAGCCAUCGACGCGAACAUGGUUUGUAGAAAUGUAGCACUGCAUCAGUGUCUCAGCAAUGGAUGCUCUGCAGUGAAUGGGUGCCGUCAGAAUGAGAGUCCAAACAGCUGAUAAAAAACAUCACAAUAAUCCACAAGUAAUCCACAACACUCCAGUCCAGCAGUUAACAUCUGGAAAAGACAAAAGCUGCACAUAAUGCUGAACUGUCCGUAAAUAACCACUGGGACUGCG
rnacentral:lncRNA from 1 species